rnacentral:lncRNA from 1 species
UGCCAUAUAAUAAAAAAAAAUCAAAUAAAGCACAAAAUGCUCAUAUUUUUAUUUCACACUUCGUGAAGUCGCUACGAUUUCCAUCUAUGAAGGCAUAUACAGAUUUCUAACUACCCAUAUGGAAUAACUAGAUCAGAUACAGAUAAUGCCAAUUUGCUCAGGCACAAUUUUGGAUGGCCAAACUAAGGUAUGAUCUACG